rnacentral:rRNA from 1 species
GACGAACGCUGGCGGCGUGCUUAACACAUGCAAGUCGAACGCUGAAGCUUGGUGCUUGCACUGGGUGGAUGAGUGGCGAACGGGUGAGUAAUACGUGAGUAACCUGCCCUUGACUCUGGGAUAAGCCUGGGAAACUGGGUCUAAUACUGGAUAUGACAUGCCACUGCAUGGUGGUGUGUGGAAAGGGUUUUACUGGUUUUGGAUGGGCUCACGGCCUAUCAGCUUGUUGGUGGGGUAAUGGCCUACCAAGGCGACGACGGGUAGCCGGCCUGAGAGGGUGACCGGCCACACUGGGACUGAGACACGGCCCAGACUCCUACGGGAGGCAGCAGUGGGGAAUAUUGCACAAUGAGCGGAAGCCUGAUGCAGCGACGCCGCGUGAGGGAUGACGGCCUUCGGGUUGUAAACCUCUUUCAGCACGGAAGAAGCGAGAGUGACGGUACGUGCAGAAGAAGCGCCGGCUAACUACGUG